rnacentral:rRNA from 1 species
AUUGAACGCUGGCGGCAGGCCUAACACAUGCAAGUCGAACGAGUGGCGGACGGGUGAGUAAUGUAUGGGAAACUGGGUGAUGGAGUGGGAUGAGUACUGGAAACGGUAGCUAAUACCGCUAAACAUCGGGUGUGACCACAUGGGAUUAGCUAGUAGGUGGGGUAAAGGCGCACCAAGGCGACGCUCCAUAGCUGGUCUGAGAGGAUGACCAGCCACACUGGAACUGAGACACGGUCCAGACUCCUACGGGAGGCAGCAGUGGGGAAUAUUGCACAAUGGGCGCAAGCCUGAUGCAGCCACGCCGCGUGUAUGAAGAAGGCCUUCGGGUUGUAAAGUACUUUCAGCGGGGAGGCGUUACCCGCAGAAGAAGCACCGGCUAACUCCGUGCCAGCAGCCGCGGUAAUUC